rnacentral:rRNA from 1 species
AUUGAACGCUGGCGGCAGGCUUAACACAUGCAAGUCGAGCGGAGAUGAGGUGCUUGCACCUUAUCUUAGCGGCGGACGGGUGAGUAAUGCUUAGGAAUCUGCCUAUUAGUGGGGGACAACAUUCCGAGAGGAAUGCUAAUACCGCAUACGUCCUACGGGAGAAAGCAGGGGAUCUUCGGACCUUGCGCUAAUAGAUGAGCCUAAGUCGGAUUAGCUAGUUGGUGGGGUAAAGGCCUACCACGGCGACGAUCUGUAGCGGGUCUGAGAGGAUGAUCCGCCACACUGGGACUGAGACACGGCCCGGACUCCUACGGGAGGCAGCAGUGGGGAAUAUUGGACAAUGGGGGGAACCCUGAUCCUGCCAUGCCGCGUGUGUGAAGAAGGCCUUCGGGUUGUAAAGCACUUCCAGUAGGGAGGAAGCGUUGUGUGUUAAUAGUACACAGCGUUUACGUUACCUACAGAAGAAGCACCGGCUAACUCUGUGCCAGCCGCCGCCGUAA